rnacentral:lncRNA from 1 species
UUUGUUUCUUUACAGGAAAGGAUGCAGAUGAUGAUGAGGAGGAGAAGACUCUGAGAGUAUUGUUGUAAUUUGAGUAUUUUAGUGUUUGUUUUUAAUUUGAGAGUUUGUUUGGUUUUGUUCAUGUUAAUUUUUGUUCAACUCCAUCGUAUUUUCAAUUAUUGCACUUUGUGAUUGAUUUAUUUAUUUAUUUAUUUAUUUGUUCCUU